rnacentral:sRNA from 1 species
UAGCCAAGACCUAGAGUAUAGUCUAGAUUACUCUAGAUUUAGAACUCAUCUCCACGAGUUUUCAAGCGAUGAUCUAGAAAUAAAUAACGAGGAUACAGAUACAUAAGUCUAAGUCAUGAUAAGUGUCAUAAGCUGCAUGGUGGAUUUAUUUAAUUUCUGAUGGUCCUGAAUGUGAUUUCACUUGGCAGUAAAGAGUACUGACAAUGUUAAUCUGUAUCUGACAGUAGUUAGAGAGUUACAUAGCUGGUUAUUUUUGUGAAGUGCUAAGUCCCCAAGGAAGCUACAGCAGAUUGUCAGGCAUAGCAAGUUCUUGCUGUCUGUGCGUAUAAGAACUACUUCCAGAAAAUGUUGCUCCUAACACAUCUUCAUCUUUAAAACCAAAGCUUCUCAGAGAACUUGGAUUUUAAAAAAAAAAUUUCACAUUGUUUGACACUGGUAAGAGCAAGGUGGAGGUAGGCAGUUAACAUUGAAACAAGGCUCCACAGUUAACAUUGAAACAAGGCUCCACAGUUAACAUUGAAACAAGGCUCCACAGUUAACAUUGAAACAAGGCUCCACAGUUAACAUUGAAACAAAGCUCCACAGUUAACACUGAAACAAAGCUCCACAGUUAUCACUGAAACAAAGCUCCACAGUUAACAUUGAAACAAGGCUCCACAGUUAACAUUGAAACAAGGCUCCACAGUAAACAUUGAAACAAGGCUCCACUUUCCACUCAAUCCCUUGCUAAAACUUAGCUAGCUGCAAGAACUGAACAUCAUGCAAACAACUAAGCUCAUGUUGACAAGAACUCAGUGCUUCUCUGACACCUGCUAAUCACCAGCAAAUCUUUUCGCCAACAAUCUUGGUGUCAGGGUCACUGCUGCAUUACCUGGAACACUCCUAAAGAAAUGGACUGACUCCAGUAAUUAGUGUACAGCAUACAUUAUAUGCUGAUGUACACUGUUCAUAGUAAUUUACUUUUUAAAAAUUGUUUGAACCUGCUUAUUUGGCACAUGGAGUCAGAAUGCAAAUGCAAACAAUGAUCACAGUCACUCGUCACAAUGGAUUCAGAUCUCCACUAUUAGAUGCAGUUAGAGUCUUUUUACAUUCAAAAGAAUCUACUUAAAGAGGAUCAUUUUACAAUAACAAGAUUAAUAAAUAGGAUGGAUCAUUUCUCCAGCUUGUUUUUCUUGAGGACAACGGAACAUAGAUUGCAUGGGUUGGUGACAGACUUUUAUUUGAUUCUAGGACUUGUCAAUUCAAAAAGAUUAUCAUCAAGCCCUACUUUAUGCAUAACUGGUAAGAACAUAUAUGCCUUCGAUUCUUUAAUGUGUUGUAUUUAAAUAUUAAUAUUUUCUCCAUCAGUUCAACUAUAUCAGGGUGCUGGCCUAAUUUAAGUAAAUUCAAUCACGUACAUAUCAACUUUAUUUUAAGGAAGUUAAUUGACCAUAUAUGUCAUGCAGCUUGUUAUUUUCAUUGCUGCUUUUGUUCUCAUUUUUUUAUGUUGGAGGGUUCAGAUUUAACAGCUAGUCUGAGAUGCUCAGUCUUUUUUAUAGCUUUUCUUCUAAAGUGAUUUUGGGGCCAGUGUCUUGUUAGGGCAUGUUUGGUAUUCUCUGUUGAGACUCUGUAGGUGCAAAUUUCACUGGUCCUUAUUUUCAGUUUCAAGAACAUGUUAAAUCUCAUUCUGUUGGGUCUAGUUUGAAGAAAAAAAUAUUCGUUGGUCAUGUUAGAUAGCUUGUAGUAGAUAGUAUAGUUUUACUUGAAGUUUUGAGUAUGUCAAGAUCCUUUUCUGCCCCCACUCGUCACGACCUCAUUUUGCUUUACUCUAAUAUAUAUGUAUCUGUAUAAUUAUCUUGGCUCUUUUGAUCUUGUAAUGAUUCUUACUCUUGUUGUGUGUAAUUACUUUGUCUGCAUAAUUAUUAGAGUACUUUAAAUGUGUAUAAACUAACGACAGCAAUGUCCACUUAAUGAAUACUAGUGAACUCAAAAAACUCUAAUUAAAACUAAUAUUAAUAUUCUAAGUAGGGCAUUGAUGGCCACUUUAAAAUCAUGUAGUAAAUGUAAUAAUUGAUUGACGAAUGAAUUGAUACGCUCUGCAAAUAGGGCUUAUAAAUAAUAUAACAUUUAAUAAGACAAGUGGUUUCAAUACAAUAUUCAAAGGAAACUAUUGUAUCUGUUAAGAUAAUAGAGAUAAACAAUUAUAAAGAGAUUUAAUCAACAAAACAGCAAUUAGUCACCCAUGCCAAUUAGACCACCUCAGCUACUCCCUCCUCCAUGCACCCAGCGCUGCCGACUGUAUUCAGUCCGUCAUCUGGUGCCAAUCAUGUGUAUGUGGUUCAUCAUCUUCACCACGGUUGCUGAUAUCUAUUUUGACUAUCAUUCUGUGACUCAAGCCGCCUUCUACCGACUCUGCGGAUUGUCACUCUAAGUAAACAUAUAACUAAAAUAUCGCUAACAACUAGCUAAAGUGCAAUUCUGUUUAUUCAUAAUUGACUAACAUCUAAUGCAAGGUCUAUAACUAAUCAAAAUAUUUCUUCUUAACCUGGUCCCUUGGAAAUAGUCCUACAUGCGGUUGUCUCUGGCAAACAACUCACACCUCUUGGAGCCAAGAUCGUGAGCCAGCCUCGGCAACUUGCUCCCAAUGUUUGUAUGUGAAGUUUACCAGAAAAUGUCUAGCACACUACAUGGCACUGUCCCAAAACUCGACUCAAUAUAGGCUGAGACCCUAACCCUUCGCCUAAACUAUUGAUACCAAAUCUUCUGUGUCUGCCCCGACCUGCGUGUAUAAAUCUCAGUGUCAUGCUAUUCCUACCCUUUGUCUGUACUCUUGUCAAGACUGUUGGUGGGCUGUGAAAAUACCUUUAAUAGCCCCUUUGUAUACGAAGUCAGAAUUUUGUUCCAAAAAAUUAUUUUGUGG